AGUAAAUACCGAAAAAAUAACUAACAGAUACUUAUUGAAUAAUGAAUUAAGUUCUGGUGAAGUAUUUACUGUCCUUUUUAUCUGCCUUUAAGAACAAUAUGCACAACUGUUCUCAUACACAAGAGUAUUUCUUAAAAAAAACAUGAAUUGCAAAUAUCUACUAAAAACUGUUGUGUCGAACAGGCCGUUGAUUAGGACAGUAGAGACCAAAUAGAAAGAUGCCACUUCGAAGAGUCAAAAUCACCUGUUUUUAACCAUAUUGAAGAAGCUGCUUAUAUGGAACAUGAACAUAAGCAAAGAGCUUCAGAUUUCCAGUAAUGAGGUAAUAAAUAACAUUGUUAGCUAUUUGUAGACAGACACGGGCAUUCCAUGCACCAUGAUGUGGCCUAUUUUAAGGUGUUCUCUGCCAGUUUGAGAAGAAAGGCAAUUCACCCCUGAUCUUCUAAGAUAAGAAGAAAUCAGAAAGGGUCAAAAGCAGAGAAUGCUGUUAAUGCUCUGCUACAAGAGAAGGCCCUCUAUCCAUUACUGACUGCAGAAGAGGAUACAAACCUGUGCCAUGAACACUCACAACUAAACUCAGCUCACUGAGGACAUUGACACUUAUUUAAACCUAAGAAUUGUUGAGCAUUUAAUUCAAGCUGGUGAAAUAUGAGGAACAGGAGACCAGCAACAAAAGUUAAGUUUGCUCAACUUCGGAAUCGUUUCAUGUUUUUGAACUUCCAUGAUAAACCAACAGAAAGAAUAACAGAAAUAAACAAGAUUCAACUCUCCAGGGAUCACUUGCUUUACUGUGAGGAUCACUUUCUGUGUCCUGCACUGCCCCUUGCUGGAGUAUCUCAUAAAUGUGACAGUGUAAAUUCUAAGACCAGUGCUAAUUAAAAAUGUGUAUCAGUUUCUGAUCCACAAAGUAAUCUUAAAAUAUAAGGAUUCUGUGCUUUUAUAAUCAGUCACUUAAUUAACAAUUCAUUAUCAUAUAUCUGGACUUCUUUUCUCAAGGCCAUUGCAGUCUUGGCAAAAUGAAUACACGUGAAUAGCUGUGCUUGCAACUCCUUGUUUGUCAGCGUUAUGGCUCUGAUUUUGUUUGGUUUCCUUUAAGUUUUCAAGGAUAAUAUUUGAUCUCAAAAUAUGUUCUUAACACAUUUUCACAAAUGUGUGAAAGGUGGCCUAUACAAAUGUGAAUGUAGAGAAACUGUUAAAAACUCCAUUAACACUUCCCCACAAUAAGUAAAUCCUACCACAACACAUCUCAGCCACAAUACCUCUCACCCAGUCAUAAUUUACUCAAUUUAUGCUAGUAUUUUUAAUUGCAUCCUACAUGUACUUGUUGUAUGCUAUAGAUCAGAUUUAUGUAGUUAACCUCUCCUUCCCUUCCUGUCCACUGCUGAUUAAUAAAGCCAAGGACUCACCUUCUUCA
rnacentral:lncRNA from 1 species